AAAAAAAGGUUAAUCUUAAGCAUCGGUGUCCAAAAAUGGCUUAAAGCCGAAAACCAUUUGAUGAUAAGCCAUGGUGAGUGAAUAACUCAACUUUCCAAAUAACAAAAUCACUUCUUCCCUAAAUAAUCUCUACUAACAAACACACGAAUUUUACUUGGGGAUUUGCGAGAAUGAAGAUGACGAUGACGAUGACGAUGAAGCUCAAGUUUACUCCUAAAGCUUUUGCUGCCUUCUUUCAUGGUGGUACUACUCUUAUUACUCCUUUUCCUUCUUUUCAUUUUCAUUCACGCUAUUAUUAUUCCACUGCAUCUGAUGUUUUUAUUCAAGAUCGUCAAUUGUUUAUCCAAUCAGUUAGAGAACACUGCAAAUUAGGGUUUUCAAAUCUCAAUUUCCCCCUUUCUCUCUUCCAUCAAAUGCUCUCUUUGCGCCCUCUUCCUUCUAUCAUCGUUUUCACUCAACUCUUCACUGCCAUGUCUAAAUUGAAGCGUCUUCACCCUCACUCCACCAUUAUCUCUCUCAUCAGAGACCUUGAAUUCUCUGGUGUUCGACCCAAUUGGUAUUCAUUGGGUAUUCUCACCAAUUGUUACUGCCAUUUGGGCCGUGUUGAUUUCGGCUUCUCUCUUCUCGCCAAAAGACUUAAGCUUGGUUACCCCUUUGAUGGUGAUUGUGUUAUCUUUACUACUUUAAUCAAUGGCUUUAUCCACUGUGAUAAGCUUUCUCAAGCUCUUCAAUUGCUAGAUGAAAUUGUUAAGCUAGGUUUCCAACCAAACAUUGUUACCUAUGGUGCUAUUUUCAAAGGCCUUUGUCGGAUUGGUGACAAUGCUGCUGCCCUCCACUUGCUUAAGAGGAUGCAUUCUGGUUGUUGCAAACCUAACCUUGUUAUAUAUAACACCAUUAUUGAUAGUCUUUGUAAGGAUAGGCUGUUGAAAGAGGCCCUCGACUUGUUCACUGCCAUGAAAAGUGAGGGCAUUAUACCUAAUGUUGUCACUUAUACCUCCUUAAUUAGAGGUCUCUACAACUCCGGCUCCAAGGUCGAGGCUAAAGAUAUGCUAGCUCAGAUGUUGGAGUGUGACAUAGCGCCAGAUGUUACCACCUUCAGCAUGCUUGUUGACAUGUUUUGCAAAGAUGGUAAUGUUGAUGAAGCGCAAGCUAUUCUAGACUACAUGAUUGAGAGAGGUGAGAUUUCAGAUGUCAUAACUUACAAUGCUUUACUUGAUGGUUAUUGUUUGCGUGGUCAGAUGGAGGAUGCGGAAAAACUACUUGAUCUCAUGGCUCAAAAUGGGUGUGAGCCUGAUAUUGUAAGUUUCAACACUAUGAUUAAUGGAUAUUGCAAGGCCAGAAACAUUGACAAGGCACUUAAUUUAUUCCAAGAAAUACUUGAGAAAGUGAUCACACCUGAUGUUGUUACCUAUAGCACUCUUAUUGAUGGACUAUGCAAAGUCAAUAGACUCCCACUUGCAAGUAAACUGUUCAAGGAUAUGCAAGGCCAUGGAGUUACUCCUGAUGUUGUCACAUAUGCUUCAUUGCUUGAUAGCUUAUGCAAAAAUGCUUUACUUGAUGAGGCAGUGACAUUACUUGAAGAAAUGGAGAAUAAUGGCGUUAAGCCUACUGUUGUCAUAUACGGUAUCUUAAUGGACAGCUUGUGUGAGGCUGGAAAACUUGAAGAUGCAGCAAAAAUUUUCUCGGAUCUUGUAUUGAGAAGGCUAGAACCUAAUGUUAAAAUAUACACAAUUUUGAUGAAAGGCUUCUGCAAGAAAGGCCUUAUGGAUGAAGCUAAUCAACUGUUGAGGAAAAUGGGGAAUGAUGGUUGCUCUCCUGAUGAUUUAACCUAUAAUACAAUUAUUAGAGGCCUAUACAACUCUCAUUGAUGCAUUGUGCAACGCCAGAUGUUCAAGGAAAUGCGAGUUCAAGGAGUUAUUCCAAAUGUUGUCACAUAUGCUUCAAUGCUUGAUGGCCUAUGCAAACAUAUGCUGCUUGAUGAGGCAGUGGCGUUACUUGAAGAAAUGGAGGAUAAUAAUGUUAAGCCUAAUGUUUUCAUCUACAAUAUCCUACUGGACAGUUUGUGUGAAGCUGGGCAUCUUGAAGAUGGAGCAAAAUUCUUCUCUGAUCUUGUAUUGAAAGGUCUCCGACCAAAUUGUAAAACAUAUACUAUACUGAUAAAAGGAAUGUGUAAGAAAGGGAUCAUGGAUGAAGCUAUCUGAUCGUUGAGGAAAAUAGAGGAAGACAAUUGCUCCCCUGAUGAUCGUACUUAUAAUACAAUUAUCAGAGGAUAUAUUCUCAACAAUGACUUACCAAACACAUUUAUACUAUCGUGAUCGUAUGGUUAGCAAGGGAUUUGAAAUUGAUGCUAAUACUGUCUCUUUAAUUGGUGGCCUCUUGUCUUCUAAGAACUUAAGUGACUCAUCAAAGGAUCUGUUUCAGAAGUUUAUAACCUGAAUUAACGUUCUGACAGUCCUAAUUUCGGAAAGACUCAGAUGACUUUUUAUCUAGUUUUUCCAUAUUGUCCUUCUAAGGGUGUCUUAAGUAGUAGUAUUAUUGUUGGUUGAAGCAUAUUUGCAAAUCAAUGAUACCUUGAUGCUA